CGCCCGUGUUAAUAGCCAAUCCUGACUUUGAUUCCUCAAUUAGUUUACAAAUAUUUAAAACAUGUGCUGGCAUGGAUUAAAUGAAUCGGAGGCGUUCUUUGACUUUGAAUCUCUAUAUCUUAUUUUUUUUAUUUUAAUUAGUGUCUUCUACCUUUUCUUAUUCAAAUCAAUCAUCACAGAAAAAAAAUAUUACGAACUGCUGUUAUAUGUAUGAUUCAAAAGUGAAUUGUUUUUAAGUGGCAGCAAUUUCUAAUUCUUAAUUCUCAGAGCAUAAGUUAGGUUUUUCUUUCGUAUUUUUUUUUUAGAAACUUAUUACUUCAGUGUAACGUUUACUUCGUACAUGUUUAACUUUGUCUUCCGAAGCUUUUAUCAGAGUGAAUCUUCUAUGUUAUCACAGUAUGUGUGGCAGUUUUGCCUUAUGCACUUUCAAGAGUAAAAUUCUCCAAAUUCCACUUGAGAAAUAGAAUAAACUUAGCAACUAUUCACUGUCAAAAUAUCUGUAAAACUUGAAGAGUUCCGUUAAAAUCAUCAACUUCCAAUCAGUUCAUUGCCUUUAAGCAUAUUUCUAGGAUGUAUAGAUAUACACAUGGUAAACCAGUCACUCUUAAAAACAGUUUUUAUCCAAUUUCUUUGAACAAAUAACUUUUUAUUUUACACCCGCAAGUACAACUUUUUAUUUUAAAUUUCCAAGUUUUUAUACUUGUU
rnacentral:lncRNA from 1 species